GGUUCGAUGGCGUAGUUGGUUAUCGCAUCUGUCUAACAUAUUCCAGGCAGAUACGUCUACAGCACAGAAGGUCCCCAGUUCGAGCCUGGGUCGAAUCA
rnacentral:tRNA from 1 species